rnacentral:rRNA from 2 species
UAGGGAAUCUUCCGCAAUGGACGAAAGUCUGACGGAGCAACGCCGCGUGAGCGAAGAAGGUCUUCGGAUCGUAAAGCUCUGUUGUCAGGGAAGAACAAGUACCGUUCGAACAGGGCGGUACCUUGACGGUACCUGACCAGAAAGCCACGGCUAACUACGUGCCAGCAGCCGCGGUAAUACGUAGGUGGCAAGCGUUGUCCGGAAUUAUUGGGCGUAAAGCGCGCGCAGGCGGUCUCUUAAGUCUGAUGUGAAAGCCCACGGCUCAACCGUGGAGGGUCAUUGGAAACUGGGAGACUUGAGUGCAGAAGAGGAGAGCGGAAUUCCACGUGUAGCGGUGAAAUGCGUAGAGAUGUGGAGGAACACCAGUGGCGAAGGCGGCUAUCUGGUCUGUAACUGACGCUGAGGCGCGAAAGCGUGGGGAGCGAACAGG